rnacentral:rRNA from 1 species
GAUGAACGCUGGCGGCGUGCCUAAUACAUGCAAGUCGAGCGAAUGGAUUAAGAGCUUGCUCUUAUGAAGUUAGCGGCGGACGGGUGAGUAACACGUGGGUAACCUGCCCAUAAGACUGGGAUAACUCCGGGAAACCGGGGCUAAUACCGGAUAACAUUUUGAACCGCAUGGUUCGAAAUUGAAAGGCGGCUUCGGCUGUCACUGAUGGAUGGACCCGCGUCGCAUUAGCUAGUUGGUGAGGUAACGGCUCACCAAGGCAACGAUGCGUAGCCGACCUGAGAGGGUGAUCGGCCACACUGGGACGGAGACACGGCCCAGACUCCUACGGGAGGGAGCAGUAGGGAAUCUUCCGCAAUGGACGAAAGUCUGACGGAGCAACGCCGCGUGAGUGAUGAAGGCUUUCGGGUCGUAAAACUCUGUUGUUAGGGAAGAACAAGUGCUAGUUGAAUAAGCUGGCACCUUGACGGUACCUAACCAGAAAGCCACGGCUAACUACGUGCCAGCAGCCGCAGUAA